rnacentral:rRNA from 1 species
UGCCUACGGGUGGCAGCAGUGGGGAAUAUUGCACAAUGGGCGCAAGCCUGAUGCAGCCAUGCCGCGUGUAUGAAGAAGGCCUUCGGGUUGUAAAGUACUUUCAGCGGGGAGGAAGGUGUUGUGGUUAAUAACCACAGCAAUUGACGUUACCCGCAGAAGAAGCACCGGCUAACUCCGUGCCAGCAGCCGCGGUAAUACGGAGGGUGCAAGCGUUAAUCGGAAUUACUGGGCGUAAAGCGCACGCAGGCGGUCUGUCAAGUCGGAUGUGAAAUCCCCGGGCUCAACCUGGGAACUGCAUUCGAAACUGGCAGGCUAGAGUCUUGUAGAGGGGGGUAGAAUUCCAGGUGUAGCGGUGAAAUGCGUAGAGAUCUGGAGGAAUACCGGUGGCGAAGGCGGCCCCCUGGACAAAGACUGACGCUCAGGUGCGAAAGCGUGGGGAGCAAACAGGAUUAGAUACCCGGGUAGUC